ACCCCAAUCUCUUUAUUUCCUUGCAAAACAAUAAAUCCACACUUUUUAUAAAUUUACCAUGAGGGCAAAAUAGGAAUACAAAUAAUAUUUAAUAAAAAAUAAAUUACAAAAAAUUAAAAGAGAGCUCACCACAUACAUUUCUCUCUCUUUCCGUCAAAGCACAAAGGUGCUUACUUUCUAAAAUGGGUUCUUUGCAGCUAAGACCAAUAGAAGCAAAAUACCAACAAAAUCAAAAAGCAAAAAAUCAAGGAAAAUCAGCUAGAUCUACAGAUCUUCUUCCUCUCCGCCUAUUCAUCAACUUGGAAUGGAUGUCCAGAUGAUCGUCGCCUCUACCAGCUCGUUGCUGAAGCUACAACCAUCGAAAAAACCAAUGUUUCCUCGACCCAUCGAUUUCUGGUGAGUGACCUAUUUCAAAUUAAUUUCUGUCGUUUCAUGGUGGGAUUAUGACUGCGGUAGAAGAUUUCCCCAAAUAGAAGCAUGUUUGUCUUUGCGCCUCUUUAGUUUAGUGAUUGAAUCUGACCUUUUGGUUGAAAUCGAUCAACAAGAAAAUAGGCAAAGCUACAUCGGCUGGGUUCUUUAAUGCUUGAUUUUCAGCUCAAAUGAAGCAAUCAGUUUGCUUAUCAACACAUUCGCCGAAAAAAGCAAUAAACGAUGCAAUAAUUAACAACUACAAAAUUUCUCAUCUUAUCAAACAGGUUAUUUCUUAUCACCACAUUCACAUUUUUUAUCUCCUCCUUUUGCUUUCUUUAGUGUGUAUUUUAGAUUAUUUUUUUGGGUAAUAUGUUUGAGGUUCAUGUAUGUGCUCCAUAAUUUUCUUUCUGAAAGAUUGAUGUGGUUCUUCUCUCUUUUGGGAUAGAAGAAGUAGAUGGGUGCGUGUACUUUCAUGUUGGCCGGUGCGAUCGAACUAUAUUUCUCUCUGUAAUUUUAACUGAAUGCACACUCUAAAUCCUUUAUUCA